UACGGAGGGUGCAAGCGUUGUUCGGAAUCACUGGGCGUAAAGCGCGUGUAGGCGGCCAUCUAAGUCUGGUGUGAAAGCCCUGGGCUCAACCCAGGAAGUGCACUGGAUACUGGAUGGCUGGAGUACCGGAGAGGAGGGUGGAAUUCCUGGUGUAGCGGUGAAAUGCGUAGAUAUCAGGAGGAACACCGGUGGCGAAGGCGUCCCUCUGGCCGGAUACUGACGCUGAGACGCGAAAGCGUGGGUAGCAAACAGG
rnacentral:rRNA from 1 species